AUGGAGUUUGUAGUGGGUGCUUCAGAAGCCACCAUGAGGUCUCUCCUAGGCAAGUUGGGCAGCCUCCUUGCCCAAGAGUACACUCUGAUCCGUGGCGUCCGCGGUGACAUCCAAUACAUCAGUGAUGAGCUCGCCAGCAUGCAGGCUUUUCUUGGCGACCUCGGCUCUGCCCUGGACAACCAUGAUCGCCGGCUCAAGAACUGGAUGAAGCAGAUCCAUGACAUGGCAUAUGACAUGGAAGACUGCAUCGAUGACUUUGCUCAUCGCCUCCCUCGGGACUCCCUCAGCGACGUAAGAUGUUCCUUCCUGGUGAUGGCAGUCUAUGAGGUGUGGACAUUCAGGCCUCGCCGCGACAUUGCUUCCAAGAUUGCCGAGCUCAAGGUCCGAGCACAAUACAUUGCUGAGCGGCGCAACAGAUAUGGAGUGGACAACCCAAACACAAGAACAAGCUCCCAAGCCGGAGCAACCCAUGCUAUUACGUAUGGCAUUGCUGAGCAUUUGGCAGCGAGCCGUCAGCUCAUCCGCACAGAGGACCCCGUGGGAGUGAAGAUGGACAUGGAGAAGCUCCGAGGUUCGCUAACCAAACAUGAUAAAGGCUCUCAUCGAGCUGGUGUGUCCUUGAUUGGAUUUGGUGGUGUGGGAAAGACCACCAUUGCCAUGGCACUGUACCGAGAUUUCAGGAAUGAAUUUGAUUGCCGGGCGUCAGUCAAGGUGUCUCAGAACUUCGAUGAAGAUGAAAUCCUCCGGGAUGUUCUUGGGCAAAUCAAACCAGCAAACAGUCAAAUCAAGCCAAAGGAGGAGGGGCAGGAGGGAAACAACAUAGGGAAGUUGAAGAAGAAAAACCUACUGGUAGACAUGAAAAGCUCAGUGAAGCAAGUUGUGCCACUGCUCUUUGGUCACAGGCCGCAAAGCAAUGAUGGCAGCAUGCAGAGUAAGAUAGAAACAAUGAAUCGUGACCAACUUAUCGAAGAACUCAAAAAACGCCUGCUUGGAAGGAUGUAUCUCCUGUUGAUUGAUGAUAUAUGGUCCGUAGAAACAUGGGAGACCAUUAGAAAUUGGUUACCACAUGAUAAUACAAAUGGUAGUAGAGUAAUAGUAACUACAAGAUUUCAAGUUGUUGGUGCAGCGUGCUCAGAAAGAGAUGGAACUGAUUAUGUCCAUACAGUUAAUGUUCUCAGUGAUGCUGACUCCAAAAGCCUAUUUCGUCAGAGUAUUUCUGAAUCCCCAAGCAGGAAAGAAGAAGAGGUCCAUGAGGAGAUAUGGAAAUACUGUGGGGGGCUGCCAUUGGCCAUAGUCACCAUGGCUGGCCUUGUUGCCUGCAACCCCAAAAAAAAAGAGUGA
rnacentral:rRNA from 1 species